rnacentral:ncRNA from 1 species
GCAACUGCUUUGAAAGGGAGGAGUAAAAGCUAGGUUAAAAGAGAGAAAGGUCUAGGCUGAAAGCCUUUCGAAAUUAGCUUUGAAUGUCGCCCUGGAGCAUCCCUGACGAACAAAGAAGUAGUCAUGGACGGUUUACUGCGUUAAAAGUUUAAAGUUGCCGGUAUUGGAAAUAAGGUGGUACCGCGAAAGCAGGUCUUUCGUCCUUUGA